UAUGCCUUCAGAAUAACCGGACGGAGCAAGGAUAUGCAGUCUCUGUUCGGUUCAGACAGAGGCACAAAAUGAGUGAGAGAGAAAAGUGAGUCUCUCAGUCUCUCCCCUGAAUCAGCUUUUUAAGUGUAAGGAACUAGUUUCCUUUCUAUGUUCCUUUCUUAGAUUGCUUCAGAUAUAU